rnacentral:lncRNA from 1 species
CAGUGUCCUUCUUCCUCUAGGCACACUUUAUCUCCUGCUGCCCGCAUGACAAAACCCCAGCCUAGUUGGAGGACGUGCGACUCUGUGAACGUAGAUGGCCCACCUUGCUUGGACUGUUCUACAUGAAAUCAUCCAUAGAUGACCCAGAAGUUGACUACAGGAACCACUCAUGUACUACUGGUCUCUCCGGAUUUGCCUAUUCUGAACAUUUAUAUAAAGG